UGGGGAAUAUUGGACAAUGGGCGCAAGCCUGAUCCAGCCAUGCCGCGUGAGUGAUGAAGGCCUUAGGGUUGUAAAGCUCUUUCAGUAGGGAAGAUAAUGACGGUACCUACAGAAGAAGCCCCGGCUAACUUCGUGCCAGCAGCCGCGGUAAUACGAAGGGGGCUAGCGUUGUUCGGAUUUACUGGGCGUAAAGCGCACGUAGGCGGAUUGUUAAGUCAGGGGUGAAAUCCCAGAGCUCAACUCUGGAACUGCCUUUGAUACUGGCAAUCUAGAGUCCGGAAGAGGUGAGUGGAACUCCUAGUGUAGAGGUGGAAUUCGUAGAUAUUAGGAAGAACACCAGUGGCGAAGGCGGCUCACUGGUCCGGUACUGACGCUGAGGUGCGAAAGCGUGGGGAGCAAACA
rnacentral:rRNA from 1 species